rnacentral:rRNA from 1 species
UACGGAGGGUGCAAGCGUUAUCCGGAUUUACUGGGUUUAAAGGGUGUGUAGGCGGACUAUUAAGUCAGUGGUGAAAUCCCGAGCCCAACCUCGGAACUGCCUUUGAUACUAUUAGUCUUGAAUGUUGUUGAGGUGGGCGGAACGGGUCAUGUAGCGGUGAAAUGCAUAGAUAUGACCCGGAACACCGAUUGCGAAGGCAGCCCGCUAAGCAACUAUUGACGCUGAGGCACGAAAGCGUGGGG